UACAUGGAUCAAAUAUAUUGCAAGAUCUUGAUUCUUGAGAUACGGAAUCCAACUUAUUGCAUUUUAUAUAUAUCUUCAAUUGUGAAUCGAUCCGAACACAUACAACACUAUUGUCAAACACGUGUACUAUUUUAUUCUACAUGAAACACGUGUACUGUAUCUUUAGAAAUUAGGAAUAAUUCGUGAUUCGUGAUAGUUAAAUCGAAAUUCAUUCUUUCCCUUCUUGAUUUACUAAUUUUGCUCUGCUUUUGUUCUUCUGAGUUCCUAUCAUGUUUCAUUUUAUAUAUAUCUUCAAAAUUCAUGUUCUUCUGAGUGUGUGUUGGGUUUUUCAAGGUAUUACUUUAUUUCUACUGGUGUAACCACAAUCUGCUGGGUAUAUCUUUAAUUUCUUACUAGAAUUUUGCAUGAUGUCAAUAAUUGUAAAUCAUAAUUCUUCGUUGUCUUUGAUCUGUGUUUCGGUCCUGCUGUUGCGACACAACUGGGUGUGUAUAUAGAUUUUGAUUCAUCUUCAUUCUCUAUUUUUUCUUACAGAUUACUUUGUUUAGACAUCUUCAUUCUACUUCUGAAAUUCUCCUAUGGAUUUGCAAGUGUACCAUUUUGUAUUUUUUGAUAGAUGAAUUAUUAUUUUGGCUCUUUGUCAUUUCUUUAUUUUUCUUGGUGAGUUCUGUACAUGAAUUUGACUACCUGUUCAAACGCCUCUUAUGAAAAUUCUCUAUGCAUAGGUAAGCGCUCUACUAUAGUAUUGCACAUAUUGAUGUAGCUAAGGUGUUUGAUAAUAUGCCUAAAGCAACUUAAAAGUUCGUUUAUUUCCUGCCCUUUUUCGCGCAGGAGGUGUACAACAUACACAUCAUUCAGCAACCCAAGAGCUAAGCUGGAUGUCACACUGAUAAUGACUUUUGGAUUAUUCUUGUGCAAGGAAUUCACCUCGCGAAUCCUUAGAGUCAAGGUUUCCAGGAUGGGAUUCUGAGUGUUGCUGAUACUGCUAUGAAUGAGAUCCAGCUCCAACUUCUAAUUAGUAUUCCUUAAAGUAUGCCAGUUGAUCCUUUUCCUAUGUUGUUUCAUAACUUUUGUAUAUUGUCUGAUCUUGCAUGGUUAGGACAAAGUUCAGAUGCAAUGUGUUCAACUGCUCUAUAUUAUGUGCUUUUAGUUUUACUACCGUAUCCUACAAAAAGAACACAUACAUAUAUACACGAAUGUAUAAAAAAUAUAUAAAUUGUUCCUUCUUUUUCCUUUUGCUGCUAACUUUCCUGAUUUGCUUUGGUAAAUGAUACACAGGGUAACACUGUUUCGCUUCAAUCAUGGAUAGUACUUUAGGACUACAAAUAAUUGUGGAGUUUAUGCAUACACUAAUACAAUGUUGUCAAAGGCGCACUUAAGCCCUAAAACGAGGCUCAAAUCAAGUUGAGCGCUUUGGCUUGCUUUGUGGGUGCUAUCAAAGCUCUAAGUCAUACUUUUCCUGUAGUUCUGAAAAGGCGAUCUUAAACAAUUGAUAUUUUACUUUAUCGUGAAUUGUUUAUCAAAUUUUUUGUCCAUAUAUUUGUUAUUGAUGCUUAUAAUAAUUAGUCUUGGAAUGAGUGAUGUGUGGCGUGCGUUGAUUUUGAGCUAGGUUCUCUUUUUAUUAUUUUGAAAAAUCUAGAUUAGUAUUCGCUGAGCAAGCAAAAUCAAACACUGCACAAUUAAAUACAGUAUUGAACUAUAAAUGUGAAUGAAAAUGCAGUUUCAUCUAGAUUACUAUUCUUACUUAUUAACUGCCACUAGAUUCGUUUGAAAUCUAGAUGAGUUUAACAUUGCGUAGCCCCGAUAAGCUAUUUUAUCAUUUGUUCUUCACAUUUGGUCUUUGUAAGUGAGAGUUGGAACUUAAAGUAACAUUUGCUUGUAGAGUUACUGUAGUUGGUUCAUGUUGUUGUUAAGGUAUCUUCAUAUUAAGGUUUCCUAUUUUCCUAUACCUUGUCAUUGUACAUUCAUCAAGAGUUUACCUCCCUAAGUGCCGAUGAAGUUGUUUCCUCUGGCAUCAAGUGGAAGUGGACACUGGAUGUAUGUAAUCAUGUUAGAUGAAAUUUUGAAAUAUAUAGAGCUAAUAUAUAUUUUGUCUAUAGUAUUAGAUGCACAUUGAUAAGCCGGUAAGAGUGAUCUUAUUUUCGGCGAACAUUAUUGAAUGUUUGAAAGUUCACAACUGAUCUCAAAGUUUUGCUAUCUUACUUGUGUAGAAGAGGAUCUUUAGAAGAGGUGAGGAGAGAAGAAGAUAUUAUUUUAACAUUAGAAACUAUGAAGAGUACCUAUUAUCUUGGAUUUCUUAUAUAGGACGUGAAAAAAAGAAGCUAAUUUCUCACAAAUAACUACUCAACCUAAUCUGAAUAUUACGUGCAUAUAUUCUUUUUAUAUACUGAGGUGCUUUCUUCCUUUCAGUUUUCCUGUCAGCUUUUAUGAGUAAGGCUAGCUUAAAAGUCGACUUCUGUGGGAGCUUCUUGUCAGGCCAACCAAAGGAUUAGUUGAAGUUUAUAUAAUAGUGGCUAACUGGAUAGCACUUGGCUGAAGUUGUUCUGGAGGCUCAAUUGUUUGGACAAGUUAGGAAUUACAAAUUGAAAUAAGAUUUUUCAGAAAGAAAAAAAAAUCAUUUUAUUGUAAAUCUUCUGUCUUACAAGUGUAGUAGUUAAAGCUGUAAAAAGAAAAUCUUAGGAGAUGGUAAAGCAUAAAUAACUGUGCAAAGAUUUGCAGUUACUCUCUUCUUUACUUGAUAUCAGGAAAGAUGCAUAUGCCAAUAAUGUAUACUUAUGAUUUAUUCAAUGUUCUGUAUUGUGAAA